rnacentral:rRNA from 1 species
UGAGUGCGAGCGGCUACGGCCGCGAAGUGGGUGAUGCCAAGCUUCCAAGAAAAGCCCUAUACCCGUUAAGGCAUGAUGGCCUGUACCCGAAACCGACACAGGUGGGGUGGUAGAGAAUACCGAGGGGCGCGAGGUAACUCUCUCUAAGGAACUCGGCAAAAUGGCCCCGUAACUUCGGGAGAAGGGGUGCCACCGCAAGGUGGUCGCAGUGAAGAGGCCCAGGCGACUGUUUACCAAAAACACAGGUCUCCGCUAAGUCGCAAGACGAUGUAUGGGGGCUGACGCCUGCCCAGUGCCGGAAGGUUAAGGAAGCUGGUCAGCGCAAGCGAAGCUGGCGACUGAAGCCCCGGUGAACGGCGGCCGUAACUAUAACGGUCCUAAGGUAGCGAAAUUCCUUGUCGGGUAAGUUCCGACCCGCACGAAAGGCGUAACGAUCUGGGCGCUGUCUCGGAGAGAGGCUCGGCGAAAUAGAAUUGUCUGUGAAGAUGCGGACUACGUGCACCCGGACAGAAAGACCCUAUGAAGCUUUACUGUAGCUUGGUAUUGUGCCCGGGCUCUGAAUGCGCAGGAUAGGUGGGAGGCUUUGAUCCAUGGCUUGCGGGUCAUGGUGAGCCAACGGUGAGAUACCACUCUUUCAGAGCUAGGGUUCUAACGGUCACCCGUCAUCCGGGGACCGGACAGUAUCAGGUGGGCAGUUUGACUGGGGCGGUCGCCUCCUAAAAGGUAACGGAGGCGCGCAAAGGUUUGCUCAGGCUGGUUGGAAAUCAGCCGACGAGUGCAAAAGCAGAAGCAAGCUUGACUGUGAGACCUACAAGUCGAACAGGGACGAAAGUCGGCUUUAGUGAUCCGACGGUUCUGAGUGGAAGGGCCGUCGCUCAACGGAUAAAAGUUACUCUAAGGAUAACAGGCUGAUCUCCCCCAAGAGUUCACAUCGACGGGGAGGUUUGGCACCUCGAUGUCGGCUCAUCGCAACCUGGGGCUGAAGUCGGUCCCAAGGGUUGGGCUGUUCGCCCAUUAAAGCGGUACGCGAGCUGGGUUCAGAACGUCGUGAGACAGUUCGGUCCAUAUCCGGUGCACGCGCAGGAACAUUGAGAGGAUUUCUCCCUAGUACGAGAGGACCGGGAGGAACGCACCUCUGGUGUGCCAGUUAUCGUGCCAACGGUAGACGCUGGGUAGCCAUGUGCGGAGUGGAUAACCGCUGAAAGCAUCUAAGUGGGAAGCCCACCUCAAGAUGAGUGUUCCCAUGGCAUAAGCCAGUAAGGUCACGGGAAGAACACCCGUUGAUAGGCUCUACGUGGAAGCCGGGUAACCGGUGAAGCGGAGGAGUACUAAUAGACCGAGGGCUUGAC